AGUGAACGCUGGCGGUAGGCCUAACACAUGCAAGUCGAACGGCAGCACAGUAAGAGCUUGCUCUUACGGGUGGCGAGUGGCGGACGGGUGAGGAAUACAUCGGAAUCUACUUUUUCGUGGGGGAUAACGUAGGGAAACUUACGCUAAUACCGCAUACGACCUACGGGUGAAAGCAGGGGAUCUUCGGACCUUGCGCGAUUGAAUGAGCCGAUGUCGGAUUAGCUAGUUGGCGGGGUAAAGGCCCACCAAGGCGACGAUCCGUAGCUGGUCUGAGAGGAUGAUCAGCAACACUGGAACUGAGACACGGUCCAGACUCCUACGGGAGGCAGCAGUGGGGAAUAUUGGACAAUGGGCGCAAGCCUGAUCCAGCCAUACCGCGUGGGUGAAGAAGGCCUCCGGGUUGUAAAGCCCUUUUGUUGGGAAAGAAAAGCAGCAGGUUAAUACCCCGCUGUUCUGACGGUACCCAAAGAAUAAGCACCGGCUAACUUCGUG
rnacentral:rRNA from 1 species